GAACGCACAUUGCACCCUCUGGUAUUCCGGGAGGGUAUGCCUGUUUGAGUGUCAUUAAUAUAUCAACACAGACAAGUUUUUCAUGACUUGAUCUGCUGCUUGGAUGUUGAAGGCUUGCUGGCAUUGACAUUUUCUGUCAGCUCCUUUUAAAUUCAUUAGCAGGAACAUUGCAGGACUGGCUUCAGUUUGAUAAGAUUGAACUGUUGCCGGAAUGCGCUUUUGUUGUUCCAGCUUCUAGUUGUCUGGUAAAACCGGACUGUCUCGCUUCGAGGCAUAUCUUUUUGACUUGACCUCAAAUCAGGUAGGACUACCCGCUGAACUUAAG
rnacentral:misc_RNA from 1 species